UACGGGAGUGGCAAGCGUUAUCCGGAAUUAUUGGGCGUAAAGCGUCCGCAGGCGGUCUUGUAAGUCUGUUGUUAAAGCGUGGAGCUUAACUCCAUUUCAGCAAUGGAAACUGUAAGACUAGAGUGUGGUAGGGGCAGAGGGAAUUCCCGGUGUAGCGGUGAAAUGCGUAGAUAUCGGGAAGAACACCAGUGGCGAAGGCGCUCUGCUGGGCCAUAACUGACGCUCAUGGACGAAAGCCAGGGGAGCGAAAGGGAUUAGAUACCCCUGUAGUCCUGGCCGUAAACGAUGAACACUAGGUGUCGGGGGAAUCGACCCCCUCGGUGUCGUAGCCAACGCGUUAAGUGUUCCGCCUGGGGAGUACGCACGCAAGUGUGAAACUCAAAGGAAUUGACGGGGGCCCGCACAAGCGGUGGAGUAUGUGGUUUAAUUCGAUGCAACGCGAAGAACCUUACCAGGGUUUGACAUCCUGCGAAUCUUUUGGAAACGAAAGAGUGCCUUCGGGAACGCAGUGACAGGUGGUGCAUGGCUGUCGUCAGCUCGUGUCGUGAGAUGUUGGGUUAAGUCCCGCAACGAGCGUAACCCACGUCGUUAGUUGCCAGCAUUGAGUUGGGCACUCUAGCGAGACCGCCGGUGAUAAACCGGAGGAAGGUGUGGAUGACGUCAAGUCAUCAUGCCCCUUACAUCCUGGGCUACACACGUACUACAAUGCUACGGACAAAGGGCAGCAAACUCGCGAGAGCUAGCAAAUCCCAUAAACCGUGGCUCAGUUCAGAUCGUAGGCUGCAACUCGCCUACGUGAAGGAGGAAUCGCUAGUAAUCGCAGGUCAGCAUACUGCGGUGAAUACGUUCCCGGGCCU
rnacentral:rRNA from 1 species